AUUGAACGCUGGCGGCAUGCCUUACACAUGCAAGUCGAACGGCAGCACGGGUGCUUGCACCUGGUGGCGAGUGGCGAACGGGUGAGUAAUACAUCGGAACAUGUCCUGUAGUGGGGGAUAGCCCGGCGAAAGCCGGAUUAAUACCGCAUACGAUCUACGGAUGAAAGCGGGGGACCUUCGGGCCUCGCGCUAUAGGGUUGGCCGAUGGCUGAUUAGCUAGUUGGUGGGGUAAAGGCCUACCAAGGCGACGAUCAGUAGCUGGUCUGAGAGGACGACCAGCCACACUGGGACUGGGACACGGCCCAGACUCCUAAGGGAAGGAAGAGUGGGGAAUUUUUGACCAUGGGGCAAAGCCUGAUCCAGCAAAGCCGCGGGUGGGAAGGAGGCCCUCGGGGUGGAAAACACCUUUGGUCGGGAAAAAAACCCUUGCCCUUAUACCGGCGGGGGAUGACGGUACCGGAAAAAUAAGCACCGGCUAACUACGUG
rnacentral:rRNA from 1 species